CCCCCCUGGUUUUGGCAGUGUUUUUAGUUAAAAACAUAAUAUUUUCUCGAGCUCGUAUUUUGCUGGGUUUUUUUACAACUUGGAAGGAAUUAGAGUGCCGUUUUGCUCCGCUUGCUGAUGCAACAAUUUAUUUUACAUAAAGGACGAGUAAUUCUUUUUACAGGUAAGAUUUAUGGGACGGAUAGAACGAAAUUAUAAAAAUAUUUUGUCAAAAUUCAACACUUGUUCACUUGACUUCACUCAUCAUGUCAAAUGAACUGCAAAUAUUUCAAUACUGGACAUAAAAAACCUUGUAAAAUUUGUGGUCAUAAGAUUUACUGUUUUGUUUUAUCCCUGGCAAUGUGUCUUACACAGAUUAUGGUGUGAAAAAUCAUUUAAAUACACUUAAAAUAUAGACCAGGAUUAGCACAUGCAAGGCCAGAGAGUGGGUCAAAAUAACCAGGGCCACUACACUGGAUUCACUUGUUAUGACAUCAACAUAUACAGUAGUAGUGUACUGUUAACGACUGUUAGUGUUAAUGACCCACAUAUACAAUAAAUUGACUUAUCAGAUUUUGUCAUAUAAUCAAGUGACAAGUAUGACGAGACUCCAGAAACUGUUAAAUUUAAUAUUGUGAGCAGUGGCAUAGCCAGUAAAACAGAAGUGGGGGAACAAUCAAUGGCGUCAUAAAGAAAUUGGAGGGAGCUGCCGAAGGCAUGAGCCUAUUAGCGGUUCUGGGGGCACACUCACCCAGAAGAUUUUGAAAAUUAUCUGAAAACAUCCACAUCAUCCCUACACAAGAAAUGUGAAGUUGCAAGCCCCUGUCCUAUUUAUAGUGUAUUUUGCUUUUCUCAGGAGUAUCGAUUCUAAUCGUCCCCUCCAGACAGCAUAAAUUUCCUCCACGUAUAGUUGGAGUGUGGAUUUUUCUGGAAUAUGACUCAAUGUUCAAACUAUACAUGUACAUGUAUUUCCAUAACAGAGCGGAAUACACAAAGAACUACAACAAGAAUAUUUUUAUUAAUUAGUAAACCUUAAACUGUGGAUCCUUCCUCUCUCUUGAAAAAAUUGUUAUCUUAAUUUCUCUGUGAUUGUCUUGACUUUCAUGAAAUUGGUUACAAAGAAACUAUGAUAUGCAGUUUUGUGGAUGAAAAGAAGCAUGCAUCCACAAUUUUUGGUAAUAAAUGCUGUUUUUCAGGUGGAAGAAUGUGUAAUAAUAUUGGUGUAAUAUGAUUGUUGUCUUUUAUCUUGCAGGAAUUAUUGGCUAUAGAUAUCACAAAACAUGGGAUGUACAAGGCAUUAAAAUGCAGAUGGCAAUCAUUGAUGGAUUUUCUGGGGGGGGGGGUGCACCCCCAAUAGUAUCUUCACCACCUCAGAAAGUUUUUCCACCACAGAAAUUUAAAUGCUGGUUUGAUUAAAUGACAGCAGUAUAAUUGAACAAGAAUUUUGAACUAAA